CAAUAGCGUAUAUUAAAGUUGUUGCAGUUAAAAAGCUCGUAGUUGGAUUUGUGGCGUACGGUGUGUUCCGGGCACUUGUUGUCUGAGUAACCUGCUGUUGCCAUCCUUGGGUGGAACCUGUGUGGCAUUAGGUUGUCGUGCAGGGGGUGCCCAUCAUUUACUGUGAAAAAAUUAGAGUGUUCAAAGCAGGCUUAUGCCGUUGAAUAUAUUAGCAUGGAAUAAUGAGAUAGGACUUUUUUGCUAUUUUGUUGGUUUGCGCAAAGAGGUAAUGAUUAAUAGGGACAGUUGGGGGUAUUCGUAUUCCAUUGUCAGAGGUGAAAUUCUUGGAUUUUUGGAAGACGAACUACUGCGAAAGCAUUUACCAAGGAUGUUUUCAUUAA
rnacentral:rRNA from 1 species